rnacentral:lncRNA from 1 species
CUACCUCUAGUUGUAAUAUUUGUGAGAGUGGGAGGAAACAUGGGAGGAGCACAGAAGUUACACAUCUCCAGAUGAGACGAUUAUCUAAAUGAGAACACAUCCUGUGAGUAUCUCAGCUGGUGUGACUUUGUGAGUAAAGAAAGUCUGACUUGAACAAGUUCAGCGUUUGCCUGGAAGGACUGCUUAGAGUCACAGCAGCACUGUUCAUCAAGGGACUGCACCUCUCUCCAUGCAGAAGCUACUUCUCGGCAGAUUUUGUAUUGGAAAAGGCUUCCAUCAACCUUCCCAAGUGUCUCUCUCAGAUGGUUAAUAUGGUAUUAAAUCGCCUCAGUGAAAUGCAUACAAUCUCAGAAAUUCUAAACAAACACAUCACUGAGGAGAUGUAAAUCAUCAAUUCAAAGAACUCCUUAUUUGCUGAACAAACCAAGGAUGUUAUUUGCUUAGCUUUAUACUGACAAGCACUUGUCAGACUGUUUUUUGAGAGGUAUUCCUGCAGCUCAGUUGCUCUGAUGACUUGCCAGUUGCACAGUCUCCUCAAUGUCCAAGCUCUGCACUGCAUCUCUACUUCAGAAUUAAUUUUGGGGCGGAAAAAGACAACUCUGUAGCAAACUCCUUUCUAGGAUAGCUUUCAGUCACAGCAGGAACAGCACUUACAGUUUGAUCUCAUACACCCUGGCUUUGCUGGAGAAGCUCCUGGCAUGUUAUGUGAAGAGCUGGUUUCCGGAGAGCAUUGCCCUCGCACCCUGGAAGCCAACAGGAGAGGAACUAUGAUGUUAUAAAAAACAGUGCAGUUUAAGCAAAAUAAUUGAACAUUUGAUAUCUUUCUUUCUCUGAACUGUGUUUAUAACAGAACAAUUGACUCCCAACCUUUUCCAUGGGAGAUGAGUGUAAGACUACCCCAGCUGCCUGAAACCUCCACUCCCAGCGCAGGGAAUUAGAUUAAAAAUAUCAGCAUUCUUUAAAAAAAAAAAAAAAGACAAUGGAAAAAAACCCAAACCAAACCGAACAGGUGCAAAACUAGCGUUGGGAUGAUGUGAAGGGCACUUCUGUGAGAAGGCUCAUGUUGUGGGCUCAUGCUAGCACACCCUACAGUAAUGUAAACGGAAAAGUAACCUUUGCUUACAGCAGGAAGACUUCAGACUGCCAUUGGAUACCUCUGCAUUUCCCCAGGCACUACUCUCAGGGAGCAGGGGGCUGAAUUUUGUCAAAAUGACCUAUUUGUGAUGAAGAGCCAGAUGGCCUCAAAGCAGGUGUGAUUUAGUAAAACGUUGUGUGUUCCCUCCUCAACAGUCUUCGCAGGGUUUAGUUUGCUGUUUGCUUUCAAUCCUAAUGAGAAAAGCAGGAAUUGCACUGGUGGCUUUGGGGAGAGCCAAGGAUCUCUCUGGUGCCCCAUUUACCACUAAGCACUUGGGACCAUCAUCCUCAGCAACUGAGCCCUGCACCAUCCACAGCUCACAGCGCUUUCCCCAGCACCAGCAUCUUUGUAGGGGGCUCAUUCUCACAGGUGUUGCCUAGAAUUAGGUGGAAACAGGCAGCCUGAGCAGGGUGCCCUGUGCCGAAUUUAUAUGCAACAGAACUAACUCUCAUGGUCUAUGAAGUGCAAUCUGCCACUGAAGUAUGGAAAAACAUUCACUCCUCUGCAACUUCAAAGGCUGCGAUAAGGUCAGAGAUGUACGGAGCACAUGCUUUCUGUAGCCACGGACUACCGGGAGUGCUUCACCUCUCUCUGUAGACCUUCUGUCCCUGCUGGGUUGCCCCUCCACAUCACUGCCGAGGUGCAGGAUGCUUUGCUUAGGCACAGUGUCAUCAACAACUUCCUUGAGACUGAAUGGC